rnacentral:rRNA from 1 species
UACGUAGGGGGCAAGCGUUGUCCGGAUUUACUGGGCGUAAAGAGCGUGUAGGCGGCCACGCAGGUCCGUUGUGAAAACUGGAGGCUCAACCUCCAGCUGUCGACGGAAACCGUAUGGCUAGAGUCCGGAAGAGGAGAGUGGAAUUCCUGGUGUAGCGGUGAAAUGCGUAGAUAUCGUGGAGAACACCCGUGGCGAAGGCGGGCUUCUGGCUAAUUACUGACGCUGAGGUGCGAAAGCUAGGGGAGCGAACGGG